GAGGGUAGUUUCUCGUUUUUGGUUAACUCCGCCAUUGUCUGGUCCAAAGCCCAGGAUGAGAAAGGAGGAUGGGCU
rnacentral:ribozyme from 1 species